AAAGGUGAAAAGCACCCCGGGAGGGGAGUGAAAUAGUUCCUGAAACCGCGUCGCCUACAAGCAGUCGGAGCUCAGUUUACAGCUUGCUGUAACGAGUGACGGCGUGCCUUUUGCAGAAUGAGCCUGCGAGUUAACGUAUGUUGCGAGCUUAAGUGUUUUAGACACGUAGGCGUAGCGAAAGCGAGUCUGAACAAGGCGUAUUAGUAGCAUGUGUUAGACCCGAAACCGUGUGAUCUACCCAUGGCCAGGUUGAAGCGGGGGUAAUACCUCGUGGAGGACCGAACCGUUGUAUGUUGAAAAAUGCUCGGAUGAGCUGUGGGUAGGGGUGAAAUGCCAAUCGAACACGGAGAUAGCUGGUUCUCCUCGAAAUGCAUUUAGGUGCAGCGUGUGAUGUUCACCAACGGAGGUAGAGCACUGAAUAGUCGAUGGGCCCUCCAAGGUUACUGAGAUUAAUCAAACUCCGAAUGCCGUUGGUUCAAGUCAUGCAGUGAGACAGUGGGGGAUAAGCUUCAUUGUCGAAAGGGGAACAGCCCAGACCCACUGCUAAGGUCCCUAAGUGGCGGCUAAGUGUAAAAGGAUGUGGGACUACGUAAACAGCCAGGAUGUUGGCUUAGAAGCAGCCAUCAUUUAAAGAGUGCGUAACAGCUUACUGGCCGAAUGUAGUCCUGCGCCGAUAAUGUAAGGGGGCUCAAGCCGCCCACCGAAGCAUGGGAAGUCGCGUUUACGCGGCUUGGUAGAGGAGCGUUGAUACUGGGGUGAAGCAUGAGCGUAAGCACAUGUGGACUUGUAUCAAGUGCGGAUGCAGGCAUAAGUAGCGAGAAGAUGGGUGAGAAUCCCAUCCACCGAAAACCUAAGGUUUCCGCGGCCAGGUUCGUCCGCCGCGGGUUAGUCGGGCCUAAGCCGAGGACGAUUGUCGUAGGCGAUGGACACACGGUUCAUAUUCCGUGACAGUGCAUGAAGGUUAUACGUCUGGGGACGGAUUGGAAGAGGUUUCCUAAGUUAUUGGCUUACUGAGCGGAUCCUUCGGGUGAAGUGCAGAAGUUUCUUCCGGUUCCAAGAAAAGCCAUGACGGUACGACAUGUACUCCCGUACCGCAAUCCGACACAGGUAGGUAGGUAGAGAAUACCAAGGUGUUCGAGAUAACUCACGCUAAGGAACUAGGCAAUCUAACCCCGUAACUUCGGGAGAAGGGGUGCUGGCGCAAGCCAGCCGCAGUGAAAUGGCCCGAGCGACUGUUUACCAAAAACACAGGUCUCUGCAAAAGCGAAAGCUGACGUAUAGGGGCUGACGCCUGCCCAAUGCCAGAAUGUUAACAGGAGAGGUCAGCGCAAGCGAAGCUUUGAAUCGAAGCACUGGUGAAUGGCGGCCGUAACUAUAACGGUCCUAAGGUAGCGAAAUUCCUUGUCGGGU
rnacentral:rRNA from 1 species